GCCCCAGUGGUGAACUGGCUAUCAUAGCUGCUCGUCAAGCAGCAGUAGAGGGAUCGAAACCCUUCUGGGGCGCCA
rnacentral:tRNA from 1 species